ensembl:lncRNA FTX FTX transcript, XIST regulator
GGAGAGGUUGUCCUUUUCUGGCAUCAGCGUUGCGGCUCGAGGCAAAGCUGGUCCUGUGCCUGCUGUCCAUUGCCGCUAAGGCCUGCUGCUGCCAUUCAGGCGUGUCUCUCUCUCUCUCUCUCUUUCAUGCCGCUCUCUCCACCCCAUCUUGGGACGGCCAGCUCUAAGAAUUCCUGCUACGACACUGAAUUCAACCAGGAGGUGAUGCCACACUCAAUCAGAAACUAUGCUACUGCUGAAGAGGUAUAUUGAGCCCUGCCUGGUUAACCUCCAGUGAGGUUAUUAGAGAAUUGGGAGAGGCUCAAAUCAGCAUCCUGCACCUAGUUAUCAAACCAUUGUGAAGUCUUGAUUCCUGGAUGGCCAGAAAACUUGUCAUUGGUCAAGAGCAACAUUAAGAUCUGCCUGUUACUCAUACUGAUGCUUCCUGCCCAGCAAGUUCAUCAGAGGGCGAGGAUGAAUUACGGUUGCCAUGAAUGUCCUUGUGAGGCAGUUGGGAAGCCUUGGCUGGAUUGUGAAGGAUAUUUGAAAAGUAUUUUAGAGUCCACCAGAUCAUCCAUGUGAGUGACCAUGCAGCAAAAGAAGGAGGGUCCUCUCAGUGAUUAAGGUAACAUAGUGAUUAAGGAUUAUGAAGUAUUAAUUCUUCCACUGAUAUCUCAAAAGGUGAUCUGGACAAAGGAACAGGUAUCUCAGAACAGUGGUUGGUAGGAUGGCGGAGACAUGGACUUCAGAGAGUUCUUGGUAGAAGACUCAAAGAGCCACCUGUCAUGAGACAUCCCACUUCCUUCCCCAGGUUACUUCCAAGACUGAGCAGCCAGGUUUUUGGUAGAUGAGAACAAAUGUUUCUUCCUGAAGCCCUGGGGCUUCAGGUAGGAAGAAGGACUGCUAUACUUGUUCUCACCCUUGGCUUCUGGCUGCUCCAGUUAAACAUGGUUCCCAUUGAUACAGACAUUAGAGUGGGAAAGGACUUCGUUCAUAGACCGAAGACCCUCAAAGGAAAGUCCUUCCAUUUUGGGAAGGGUGACAUUGAUUUCGUUUAGCUGCUUAAGAUAUGUACUUGCUGUUGUCUUGUGAGACAUGACAUCUGAAGCUGAAGAGGAGUCCCUCUCAUUGUUGUCAUUGUCCCACCGGGACUGAAAGUCUCCCAGUUGAGGCAGCAUUUUAGCUUUGAUGUCUACAGGGCAAUCAUGGAUCAGGAAAUUUCUGCAAAUUAGACUUGGAAAACAAGGUCUUGAUCCUUCUUGUCUUUGGACGAAGACUAAUCAUCACUUUUGACUGAAGGUGUAGUGCUGGAGACUAUGUUGGAGGCAGCACCUGAUGCACUAUCCAUAUUCUUCCCCUUGAUCUUGUCUUAAAGUUUUCCAAAUGGAUUCCGAGGCUUGUCUUUGAUGAAAAGGUCAAACAUACUGGCAGUCAUGUUGUUUCUCAUAAGCUGGAUGUCAACCUCAAUUUCUCCUCUUUAUCCUUCUCUCCUGGUUUGGAUUUCAAGGUAUACCACCGCAUCUUCCUGCUCCCCUAGUCUGGGUGCAGGUCCUGCAGGUACACCUCGGCGAAGCCCAAGUACAGUAGCAGCAGCACCUCAAAGGUGGCCUCCUCCUCUGACACUGAGGUGGCAUACUUCUCCUUACCCACCUGAAUCACCGAGUACAUGUUGCUUGUACCGUCAGGCUCUUGGUUCUUGGCCCCUGGCCCUAUGCCUGCAACACUGUCACCUGCACGUGGAUUGGGAACCACAUAGCCCCCGGACCUGCUAAGGCCAUUAAGGACAGGAUGGUGAUGCCUCGGCUGACUGACGUGAGAAGAUUGUCAUGACCCAUGGCCUCUACUGCUGUCCUACCAACAGAAACUUCAUAAUGUUGUGCAGGCGUUACCACUACCUAGUUCCAGAACAUUGCCAUCACCCCCAAAAUAAAUCUUGCAUUCAUUAA